AUUUAAAUAGCUUAAGGUAAGAGCAUAACAUUGAAAAUGUUGGAGUAAUGGAUUUAUUUUUAGAUA
rnacentral:tRNA from 1 species